rnacentral:lncRNA from 1 species
UUAGAAACCAUAAACAGUGAAGAUGUCGCAGCCUGCUGAGCUUUCCCGUGAGGAAAACAUUUACAUGGCUAAGCUUGCAGAGCAGGCUGAGAGGUAUGAGGAGAUGGUUGAGUUCAUGGAGAAGGUGGCUAAGGCAGUUGAUUCUGAGGAGCUUACUGUGGAGGAGCGCAACCUUCUGUCAGUUGCUUACAAGAAUGUCAUUGGAGCCCGGCGUGCCUCAUGGCGCAUCAUAUCCUCCAUUGAGCAGAAAGAAGAGGGUCGUGGCAAUGAGGACCGUGUCACUCUUAUUAAGGACUACCGUAGCAAGAUAGAAGUUGAACUCACCAAGAUCUGUGAUGGAAUUCUCAAGCUCCUUGAUUCCCACCUUGUCCCCUCAUCCACAGCUCCAGAGUCCAAGGUCUUCUACCUCAAGAUGAAGGGUGACUACUACAGGUAUUAAAAUAAUACUAUUGGCAUUUUCUAUCUCUCUCUCUCUUUUUUGCUGCAUUGUUGUAUCAUUUUGGUUGAAUCAAUGUAUAACAGGUACCUUGCGGAGUUUAAAACUGGAUCUGAGAGGAAGGAUGCAGCUGAGAACACCAUGGUGGCAUACAAAGCUGCUCAGGUUAUUUGCUUGUACUGCAUUCGCACUCCUAAUGUUAAAUUUUGUUGGAUGGGGCAUUAUAUUUUUCAUAUGCCCAAUUCAUCAUUCAGUGUAUUGUGUUGCUAAUACUUUUUCUGCCAAACCUUUCAGGAUAUUGCACUGGCAGAGCUGUCCCCCACUCAUCCUAUUAGGCUUGGGCUGGCACUCAACUUCUCAGUAUUUUAUUACGAGAUCCUCAACUCUCCUGACCGUGCUUGCAAUCUUGCCAAGCAGGUUUGAUUUCUAGAUCCACUACAUGAACCGUGUACUGCUUUUCAUUGGUCAUUUCAAUCCUUAUGAAAAUACGAACUGAAUGCGAGCUAUGUGGAUUUAUGGGCCUGAGGAUAUUAUGCAUUUCACAGUUCAACACAACUGUUGUGAAUAAUUUGGGUUGAGUUUAAUCAAAACUAGUGCAAUACAUCAGGAAUUUGUUUAUAGACAAUAUGAGCAACUAAAGGUGUGGUAGAUCUGAACUAACGGUGAAGACAGGUGAUAGUGCAUCAUGAUCAACUAAAUGCCAUUUGUAAACUUCUUAAUACAUUUAAGCAAAAUUUAGAUCAAGUGGCUAAUGAUGAGCCAGAAGAAUAAGUGCAAGCAACUAACAAUGCAUUAUUCUGUUGAGUUAAUUUUCUUGAUCCAGUUAAGGUUUGCCAUUGGGUGGACCCUCCUUUCCCUCCUUAAUCUUCUUGAGAACUCGGGCCGUCCCUUUCCUAUUUAGUAGAGCUAUAUACCAGUCUUAAAUAUUCGUGGUCGCUUAUUCUGCCUUGAUUGCUCCAGGCUUUUGAUGAGGCAAUCUCAGAGCUGGACACCCUGAGUGAGGAAUCCUACAAGGACAGCACUCUGAUCAUGCAGCUUCUGCGUGAUAACUUGACCCUGUGGACUUCAGACAUCACGGUAUCUCCAUCCUAGCAUAUUUCCACUUAAGUCCUUUUUAUUUUCUGGAGUCAUCGUGUAUAUAUAUUCAAAUUCCAUUUGCUUGGCUCUAGGAGGAUGCUGCCGAUGACAUCAAGGAGGCUCCCAAGGGCGAGUCUGGAGAUGGGCAGUAAAGAUGAUCCAUGUGCCCAGAAACUACAUUUCAGUGUUCGUCUACUAGUGAAUCUGCCAAUGUGCUAUGGGUUCUUGUUUCGUUGGUAUAGGCUGUAUUGUUGCUUGUGAUAGCUGGAAAUUGGAGACUCCCAUUUGUGUCGUGCUUGAAAGG